rnacentral:lncRNA from 1 species
AUGUGGUACAGAGCUGACAAAAGGAGAGGAUCAAUCAAAGAGUUUGAGAAAGGAAAGGUACAGGACAGAGCUAGGACUAGAACUCCUGGCAGUCCCUUUCCUGGACUUCUGGUCCUCAGUUCCCUAAUAUUGGGAGUGUUCAUGGGACAUCAAAGACAAGGGCUGAAUCUUUGUGAUUGGCUCUCGACAGCAUCAUUUGGUCACCUGAGUUGGUGCUUCACCGUCUUUGUGGCUAAAAACUAGAGAACAACCUCAUUUCCCUCCCUUUCACUUUUGGGGCUGGAGUCACACCUCAGUCUUUUCUCAAGACACAUCUCAGAGGACGGACACCAGAGGAAGGUUGCCUUUUAUCCACUGCUAAAGAGAAAUAUCAAACAGUUCAAAUCACUGGAUAGGUAAAGAAAAAUAAAGAGGAAAUCUAAGCAUCUCUCCAGCGCUCUGAGGCUGGAGUCAGGACGGGAAGUUGUGCAGGCAGCAGACAUGGCUGUGAGCUGGAACAGAAGGCCUGUGUGAGCGCAAGGGCCAAAUACUGCAUCUCAUCGAGCAAGUUUAAUAGGCUCGGGGGGCCUCGCAUUGAAGUUGGAACACAUCUUAAAAAGGGAGAGAAAUAAAACUCUGAUCCACUGUGUAGCGGGGAUUAUUCUUUGCUUCAAGUUUUAUUUGAAAGAACUGAAAGACAAGGUCCAGAAACCCUGGACUCUGACUUGGUGAAAAAUAAUCAAACAAAGCAUUUAUUUUCAGUCACUUCAAAGGACUUCUAUGAUGCUGAGGUGAGAAAGAGGCCGGAAAGCAAGG